AUUGAACGCUGGCGGCAGGCCUAACACAUGCAAGUCGAGCGGAUGAGUGGAGCUUGCUCCAUGAUUCAGCGGCGGACGGGUGAGUAAUGCCUAGGAAUCUGCCUGGUAGUGGGGGACAACGUUUCGAAAGGAACGCUAAUACCGCAUACGUCCUACGGGAGAAAGCAGGGGACCUUCGGGCCUCGCGCUAUCAGAUGAGCCUAGGUCGGAUUAGCUAGUUGGUGGGGUAAAGGCCUACCAAGGCGACGAUCCGUAACUGGUCUGAGAGGAUGAUCAGUCACACUGGAACUGAGACACGGUCCAGACUCCUACGGGAGGCAGCAGUGGGGAAUAUUGGACAAUGGGCGAAAGCCUGAUCCAGCCAUGCCGCGUGUGUGAAGAAGGUCUUCGGAUUGUAAAGCACUUUAAGUUGGGAGGAAGGGCAGUAAGUUAAUACCUUGCUGUUUUGACGUUACCAACAGAAUAAGCACCGGCUAACUUCGUGCCAGCCGCCGCCGUAAUAC
rnacentral:rRNA from 1 species